CACGGGUGUGCACAGGGCAGAGCACACAUACAGAGCUGGGGACUUCGUCCAGGCAGCAGGAUCUGAUGAACCAUUAAAGUAGUAACUGGAAUGUCACCAGUUCAGCCCUGUGUCUUGAUGCUCCCUGGGGGAAACAUUUGGAAGAUCUCGAAUCUUCCUUCACAUUUUCUCCACAUGCCCCGUUUCCUCUGGCAGCCUUCCAAGAGGCUUCUGGAAACUGAGAGGGUAUGAGUCCAAGACUUCAUACUGUUACUGAAUGGAUGAGAGUCCCUGAGAUCCAAAGACAGCAUGUAGAAACAUUGCCUGACCCAUGAGCAUUGUCAGCCUGAUGGAUUCCUUCUGAGGAUCUCAAAGUGGCCCAGCAUGCAGUCUGGCUAUACAGAGGUUCUAUAUUUUGGCAAGGAUGGGCCAGAGGUGAUGUGCUUAAUUAAGUACAUUGUAGCAGGAGGAACAGUUACCAACCUCUGCCAGGACUGGUGAUUCUACAUCGAGCUCUUGCUGGAGAAGGAGCCUGCAAGCCCUGCUCUCUCUCUUGGUGGGAGAGAGAUAUUUUGGGCCACUUGUUCCAGUUCUCAAGUGCAUGUCACCAUUUAGAAGAUAAGUCUCCAUCAGGUGAGAAUUGCUGAGGCCAUGCCCAGCCUGGGGACUUUUAAUCAGCUGAAUUGGCCAGAGAUACUGUCCAGUGCAGAGACAGCACCACGGCUGAGGAUGGCCGGACCAUUACAAAAGGAACCCACAGAGAAGUAGAGGCACCAGCCAAAAGCAAUGUUAACCACAAUCACUGUGAUUGCUAUUUUUGGUUGUCAACUUGACUACAUCUGGAAUCAACUAAAACCCAAUGGCUUGGCACAACUGUGAGGGACUUUUUUUUCUUAAGUAAAUCCUUUGAGCUCUGGAUCUUUGAGGUGGGAAGAUACACCUUUAAUGGAGGUCACACUUUCUGCUGGCAGCCUACAAAAAGGAGAUGAAGAAGGAAAUUUUGCUGUUGUUGUUAGCAAAUCCAUUCCUUCACUGGCACUGAAGCCGGCUUCUUCAGGAUUCUGGUAUGUAAUGCUGAAGACCAGCUGAGACAUUCAACCUUUGUGAACUGAACUGAAUUCUUCCAUUGGUAGACAGCCAUUGUUUGUCUAGCUGGACAACAUCCUAUAUGCCAGUUUAAUAAAUCUUAAUAUGUGAGUGCACCA